CCUGCAGGAGAGAAGGGGGCUCAGCAACCAGGGGCCGCCGUGGCCAUGGGCCUGCCGCCCUGCCGCCCUCCCUCCCGGAGGCCCCCAGGGCUGGGUGCUGUGCUUCGCCUCGAGGGGCCUCAGUGCCUGCGAGGGCUGCUCACACACAGGGGAAGGGCCAAGCAACAAGCACAUACGCACGACUUGUGUCUCCUGCGUGGAGUCUCCCAAGGGUAGUGUGAGUUCCCACAUUUCUGUUCCCAGCGUUACUGUGACUAGGACGGGGCUUGACGCCACCCCUCCCCCAUGGGACAGCUGGAGGCUGGAGCUUCUACAGGAGGGGACUGUUGGUCACACACAUAGGGGCGUUAAAGCCUUCAUGUGGGCCUUAGACUUGACAGGUGCUGGGGCUGCUGGCCUGGAGUGCAUCCCAGGACCCACCAGCUUGCUAUCACCCAUAGGCCAGGCCAUGGGGGGCUGGGAGUGCAGGGGACGACUCCUGGCCGAGGGGGCUCUUUAUCUCAAGAAAUGGCAUUCAAAUUUCCCUGCCAGACGGCUGUGAAUUCACAUAUUUCCACUUAAGGUAAAAGUCAGGUGGGAAUUUUGGAGGUAGGGCUCAGACUCGGGCAGAAUCUGAAAUGAGGCCUAGAGAGACUGGAGUCUCUUGCUCUACAUGUGCCUGGGGCUGUUCCUGGUCAACACCGCAGGUGCAGGACCCAGGAAACCCGGGACAGUGGCAGGAACAUAGCGGCUUGCCUAGGCUGGCAGAAAGGAUGUGGGUUUUGAGCCAGUGGUCUGGAUUCAGAUCCCUUACUGACCCCCUGGGUACAGUUAAGGAUCCUCAGGUGAGAGUCUGAGGCCAGGUUUCAUGGGGAUUUCUUUUUUCAUUGGCAGAUCUGCAGUCUUCCAGAGCCCCCAGCCUGUGGACCAUUGUAUCCAAAGUGCUGGGCCAGCCUGCCGGCUUAGGCCACACCCCUCCUUCAGAUGGGGUGCCUGCUGCCAGAUCUGCAAGCUCAUUCUGGGAAGAAGCUGUUCUCAUCACCCCUGACAGAGUUGCCCUGACCAUUUUCACAGGAUAGGUUGUCUGGGAAAAGGCACGUGUUGGCAAGUAUUCGAAGACAUGAACUCGACUUCCCAUUUUAGGGGCACGUUCCUAGGGGCACGUGUAUACAUGAGUGUUGUGGGAGGUCCACCUCACACCCGCUGUGGGUGCCUGAGCGUGUACAGGCUGCCCUUCACCCAGCCCCAGUCCUGAGGGUGAGACCAGGGCCAGCUUUGGGGGAAGGCUAUGCCGUUACAGGGUCAUGGGGGGUCACUGGAAUAAGGGACCCUUUAAAGUGUUUCACCAAGAGCCAAUAUUUACUUUCCCACUGUAAACUCAGAUUACGGCCUCUAACUUCAUCCCUGGCGAGAAAAGCCAGUGGCCAGAUCUGCAGGAGUUCCGGGAGUGCCUGGAAGCCGAGGCAGGACGGGGAGCCUGGCCCACCCUCCCGAGCAGCCUGUGUCAAGAUCAGGGAGGGCUUAUUCAGAUGCAGGUUGUUGGGCUCUGUCCAGGGAAUCGGACUGGGCAGGUCGAGGGCACGCCCUUUGAGAACCACUGUUCUGCAUGGAGCCAGCCAGGGAGGUUUUAAUCUGAGCUCACAGGGUGGGCCCCAAGGUUAAGAACCUUGAAGUGAGGGAGAAAAGGUGGGAUCGAAGGCUCAAGGCCUGUAGUAGCAGUAUCUGUCAGCCCUACUGUUAACGGAGCACGGGCUGGUCUCUUUCCAGGUUGUUGGGUGCAAGUGAAUCUGAUUUAUUCCAGGAGAAGCUCUUAUUGACAAACCCAUCCCUCUGUCCUAGGCAACCACAGCCUAAAGAAAAAAAUGCAGCCAAGGGACCGUAGCUGUUCUGGACCACGCAGGCCGCCAGGAAGGAGUGGGGAAGGUGAUUCCUUUCUUUAUGCUUUCAGGGCUCCAGAAUGUUUUCUCGUGGCCAUAGUGAGCGGCGCUUGUAGCAAAAUGGAGCAUAGCAGCAGCUGUUCUCAUGGCGGUGCUUUACACACCACACCCGGAGCCCUCAAGUCAGGGGCAGCUGUGUCGCUGCAGAGGCCCAGAUGGCCUCCCGUCCUCAGGAGCGCCGAGCAGCAAGGGCAGUUAGAGGUUCAGGCCGUGGAGCCACACAGGAUUUGAGUCCAGGCCCUGCCUCUGUGUCUUGUUUGUCAUCCGGGGAAAUGGGGUAGGUAAGCAAGGCACCUGUUAUCCCUGGGGGCUCUGAGUAUUGAACAAGACAACGUGCAGAACAUCCUCAAUUGGUAAUGGCGUCUAUAGAACAGGCAGUCUGGCAGCAUCUUUCUAGAGGCUCAUGUGGUCCAAAACUGUCUUCCUCCCGGGCCCCGUGAUCGCUGUCACCACUGCGCUUUCCCUGUGCCCACAAUGUCGGCCUCAGGCCCCCAGAAGGCCAUCGGGGUCAGCGAUGACUACUGGCACGCAUGGUAUGGCAGGGUGACGCAGGGUCGCUGGUGCUGUGUGGGCCAGCUUCAGAGGCAUCACUGGUCUGUGGGGUCUCUCUCAUCUCCCGGCUUCCUGGCUGGUUGGGGUCCCUGCGGGUUGCUUCCCUGCAGCCGUCCCCAGUGGCCAUCCCUGCUUGGCCAAGUCUUUGGGGCCACCUCCCCUAGCAACAGUCACUCUGUCCACCUUCUGGAGAAGACCCGAUGCCCCCUCCCCCAACGCACAGUAGAGUAAGGGGAAUGGGGCUUCCCUUGUAGUGUUAGAUUUGGGUUUGAAGCCCAGCUGCCCUGGGGCAGGGGCCUUAACCUCUCCAAGCAUUAGUCUCCUUGACGUGGGUACAUGGGGUGCUGAUGCCAAGAGGCAGGUGUCCCUCAUAUUCCCAUUUAGGUCCCAUGGGGCCUGCCAGGGGCCAUGGUUAAGGCAUGUGCCUUAAGUUACUCUGCAGGCAAGUGUCCUAGAUUCCAGCCUUUUGGCCUUGAGCCAACUAAGGAGCUUCCCCUGAAUUCAUUUCAGUUGUCUUCAGCCUCAUUUUCUCUAGACUAGUGAAAGGGGACCACAUGAGCUGUCGCACCCUUUGGGUCAGCCUGCUCAGUGAUGGCUGGGGGCUACAUAUUGGUUGUCUGUUCUUGCAUUCCACCUGGACCACAGGGGUUCUGGGUUCACAAGGGCCAUGUCCCAUAAGAGAUUGUCAUGCCUCCAGCCCUGCUGGGCCCCCACCUUUGAUGGGGCAUCACUAAGUGUCUCUGUUAUCAGUGAACUCACCUGCAGGGCUGGCCACAGCAGGCACACAGGACUCUAAGCCAAGAGCUGUGUUGCACAGCCUGAUCAGGGACCCUGGAAGCUCCUGUGGGGAGAGACUAUGUCUCGGGGGUUGGAAGAGUCCAGGCAGAUUCUUCUGGAGGAGACAGACUGGCACCUUGCCUUUGAAGGCAGAGCAGGAUUAAAGGUGGAUUCUAGAUGGACUCUGGUUUUUGUAUGGGACUGGUCCACCUGUCUAAUUGUCCUGGCGGUUUGCAAGAGGGUAGGGCUGGAUGUCACAAAAGGUUGAGUGACUUUAGGAAAGUGUGUCGCUGUGUGGUCAUUUUUUCUGGUAGGAUUAGGUUUCCCUCUCACGGUGCUCCUGCGCCUCUCCAUUUUCCAUGUUCUAUGUAGCUUUGAGCAAGUGCCUUUGUCAAGUUGGGCUGCCUGAAGGCCACUCCCUCCAGAGGCAGAGACCAGGGCAGCAGCUGAGAGCAGUGGGCUCCACUUCCAGAGGGCAUGGUGGGGGGGAUGGACUGGGGAGCACAGCCCCCGUGUGGCCUGUAGCCUUCUUUCCAGAUGUUCUUGUCUUAGGCUAGCAGGUAAUUCUGCCCGUUCUGUUUGGUUUCUUCCUAUCUCUUCUAAGGCCAAUUCUCAAGGCAGAGGGAGGCUGACGGCUGGGCAGGGAAGUCAGAGACUUCCCCAGUGGGGUUUCUGAGCUUCCCUAAAACCUCCUCCUGUACAUCACCCUCAAGCAGUGGGGCGAUCCUCUGGUGGAGAGCAAAUGGGGUCUGGAAGGGGCUCCAUGCCUCUCAUCUUGGCCAAGGACUUGCCCUAAAAUUCGGGCUCUCCCCCGUCUAAGUCGUGUCACCUCAGGGGAGUGAGUUAACCCCUCUCAACUUCCUUUUUAUUUUUUCUUUUAGUGGAAUUAAUGACAGUGCUCACCCUGUAAGGGUGUUGUGAGAUAAUGCAGAUCAAGGGCUUAGCACAGUACGUGGGACUCAAUGAAUACCCAUAAAUGGUAGCUUGAAAAAAAAUGAACUGGCCUUGAAGCUCAUAAAUCUACAGAGAGUUUAAUCAAAGUUCCAAACUACCCAUUCCCUAUAUCCUACCCCUCCAGAGAGGGGGUCGCCCCCUAAUGUCACACAGAGCUGAGAGAGUGGGGGUAUCCAUGAAUGUCGUGACCGCAGUACCCAAGGACAGUCUCCCUGAGGUCAGGGUCUGGCCUCCGGGGGGCUACAGGGAGAGGGCAUAAGGGUGGGAUGGCCCUCCACAUGCUGGGCCUUGGCUGAGAGAAAGUGACCCCUCUGCCCCUUGCCAACAUGUUUGCAUUUCUAUGAUUUUCAUUCCAACCCGACUUUUAGGCCGGAGACACUGGAUGCCACAAACAAGCUUUUUAUUUCCCCUCCUAAAACCCACUGUGAUUUACAGGCCGGCUCUGGUGUAAUCCUAAUCUUUACUCAUGAAAGAGAGGGCAGCUGUUUACAUGGCUCUGUGGGGCAAGGUCUGCCUGACAGAUGUGGGGCCGCUGGCAUUGCACAUGUGCUUGCCUUUGGCAUUCUGCCCUCUUAAAAGCUUUCAAUGGAUUGUUUUUAAAAACUUCUUACUCCAUGAAAAAUGUAGAGAAUUACUUUUAUGCUUCAAUUAAAAGUUUCCCAAUAGCUAUAUGAAAGAAUAUGAAAUUAUUACCUCCAAUAAAGGCUCCUGUUGCUUUCUUCGGAAGCACCUUUCAUCAGAGCAGAUCAAAGUGCAUCCGAAGCACUAAUUGAGCCUCAGGACCAUCUGUGAGGGAGGGCCAUCCCCAAAGCCGUGCUCACUGAUAAGGGAGGCCACGGACAGAGAGGCUAACUCGUUUAGCAAAGGUCACACAGCAGCACUGUGCCAAAGAACAGACCGUCUACAGGAUGUGGAAGAAGCAGGAAGCUGACUACUUAAACUCUCAUUCAGAAGCACUUUGUCAAAAAAAGGUUCGGAAUCGACUUUGGCACCCAUUACACAUCUCCCUAGUUCUGGGGAAAUUUCAAGCUAGGGGCGGGGCGGGGGGUGUGUGCUGACGACCUUACAAUGGUGGCUUUUGUCUUUGCCACCGGCUGUGACAGCCAACUGACAGCAGCCUGACAGCAAAUGGCUUUCAAUGGUCCCUCUCCUUUAGCUUUUCUUUUAAGAGACCCUUAAAUGGUGUUGCAAAGUGAUGUUCAACAUGGGCUCUUGGCAAAAGAGAAUAGGAUUUAAAAGCACAGACCGGAAGUGUGGACGGCACCCAAACCAACACGUGUCAUCACAUACCUCUGGAUGUCCCUCACUUUGGCAGUGAAGUGGCACUCAGCGUACAGGGUAGGGAGACUGUGGGCAUGCAUGAGGGUGGGGCGCUGGCAUGAGCUAUCACUGUCCCCUGAGGGCCCCUCUUCCCCCCCCCCACAUACUGUGGGAACAGGGCAGCUUGGGCAGACCUCCCGGUGCCACGUGAUAGGAAGCCUGCCCAGGGCUAGCUCUGUCACUUGAGGUGUGGAACCCCAGUGGCAGCAGUGUUCAGAGAGGCAUCAUUACAAAGCCUGCCCAAGAUGGCGCUCGCAAACUCUACUCUUUGCUCCUCGUGGGUUCGGAGGGGAAGUGCUUUGAAAAGAGGUGCUUUCUCUAAACAUGAGGAAGGGGGUUGAGGAUGGUCACCCUGUGCGGCCUGCAGUGUCAAAGGAAGCUGGUAUAUGGCCACCACACAGCCCUGCCUGGGCACCGGGAGGGUCCGAUGGCAGAGACCCAAGUGGGCGCACAGUCUGGAUCGGAUGCCCCAGGUGCAGCCACGGCCAAUACAUAGCCCUGGGUUAUGGCCCUCUUGGGCCCAAGAUGUCCACAGCUGCAACCUCUGGUGCCAAAUCCAGAGUGUGAGGCAUGAGGCACAGACCGGGACAGGGAGGACCCCAAGAUGUGAUGGGAAGUGGGACACCGCCCCUGCAUCAUGGCACGGAGUUCCCAAAGCACUCUCCCUUCUUAGAGCUCUAAUUUCUUUUAAUGCACACCCAGAAUUACUGGGGGCUACUUCAGUGCUGGAAGCCAGAGCAGACCCAGCCCUAUGUCACUGUCACAGAAGUGUCCGCCUUGCACAAGGCAGACAACAGGACACAUGGAGACAGAGCUGGCAGGUUGCGGGGGUGGGGGGGGGGGGGCGAGUGAAGGAUGCCAGAGAUACAAAGGUAAGGGGCAGAGGCAUGCUGUGGCUGGGAGGGUGCUCCUGGAACGAAGGUCCUGGCUUUCACACCACCCCUGUCCUCUCCACUUCCCUCAUAUCUGAGUCUUCGUGUCCUGCCAGGUUCACUCUCUAAACCGCCAUCUCUGAUGGUCCCACUAUACCCUGAAGUCACUUUCUAUGCUGACAUCUGCUGUCACAAAGGAAAUCUGAUACAUUCCUCAGUCUUCCUGUCUCACUCCGUCUCUUCAAUUGCUGUUCACCAUUGCUUAAUGUUUGUAUUCUUUCCCCUCCUGUGCUUUGGGUCUUCUCGACUAAAGCAGAUGGCUCGAAAACAGCCUUAGCUGACCGUGCACAAGUCAGAGCACCACGAUUAUGGGCUAAGUAUGCAGCUAAGUAUAAUGACCUCACAAGCCACGAUGUGCCCUUACCUGCCGCUGCCAAUGGACGGGAACGCGAUGGACUUGAGCUUCUUAUCGUCUGCCAGGGCCAGACAGUUCUUCACCGUCUUUUCCAGAAGUUCCUCACACUUGUCGGCACCCCAGACCGGACUGUUACAGUGGAUCACAAACUUGGCAGGCAGGCCGUGACCUGCACUGACAGCAGCUGGAGGAGACAAGACAGGAACAGUGAGUUCUGUCCCUCACACACCCAACACAGCGCCCUCCAGCUGCAGCGCGCCCCCAGGCUCCCCUGUGGCCUGCAUCCAGGGAGCGCUGCAGCUGCCUGCCAUCUUAUGCUUCUGACGUCCCCCUAGAAAUUGUCACCAGCGAGUCUUCUCGGGAAACACCAGGCCAAGAGCCACCCUUGGAAAGCUGGCAUUGAGAUGCACCGCCACUAAGAAUUUUAGCCAAGAUUACAGCCAGCCCUCUCUGUACAUCCUCCCAGAGGCGGCCCCUGAACCACCUGACUUGACUGUGUCAGAAUGUUUGCAGCCUCAAAUUCGCCUCUGGGGAUCUCUAAGCCCCCUUCCUCCCGUGAACUCCUGUACACAUAAUUAUGAUGUGUCUAUAAAUCUCCCCGGCAGAGUUCAGGAUAAACCUAUUAGGAAAGCAACUCCAUUUAAUGAGCCACUAAGCAACAUGACUGGCAGCUCUGGUGCCCUCCUCUCCUCCUGAACUGAUCUUCGUUUUUGACAGAAUUAAAUUGUUCUUUCACGCUGGAA